GAUGAACGCUGGCGGCGUGCCUAAUACAUGCAAGUCGAGCGAACAGACGAGGAGCUUGCUCCUCUGACGUUAGCGGCGGACGGGUGAGUAACACGUGGAUAACCUACCUAUAAGACUGGGAUAACUUCGGGAAACCGGAGCUAAUACCGGAUAAUAUAUUGAACCGCAUGGUUCAAUAGUGAAAGACGGUUUUGCUGUCACUUAUAGAUGGAUCCGCGCCGCAUUAGCUAGUUGGUAAGGUAACGGCUUACCAAGGCAACGAUGCGUAGCCGACCUGAGAGGGUGAUAGACCACACUGGAACAGAGACACGGUCCAGACUCCUACGGGAGGCAGCAGUAGGGAAUCUUCCGCAAUGGGCGAAAGCUUGACGGAGCAACGCCGCGUGAGUGAUGAAGGUCUUCGGAUCGUAAAACUCUGUUAUUAGGGAAGAACAAAUGUGUAAGUAACUAUGCACGUCUUGACGGUACCUAAUCAGAAAGCCACGGCUAACUACGUG
rnacentral:rRNA from 1 species